AUCGAUAAAGCAAGCACAUUCUCAUCAUCUU
rnacentral:sRNA from 1 species